rnacentral:rRNA from 1 species
UACAGAGGGGCGAGCGUUGUUCGGAAUUACUGGGCGUAAAGGGUGUGUAGGUGGCGCGCUAAGUCGGGUGUGAAAUCUCGGAGCUUAACUCCGAAACUGCAUUCGAUACUGCCGUGCUUGAGGACUGGAGAGGAGACUGGAAUUUACGGUGUAGCGGUGAAAUGCGUAGAUAUCGUAAGGAAGACCAGUGGCGAAGGCGGGUCUCUGGACAGUUCCUGACGCUGAGGCACGAAGGUCAGGGGAGCAAACGGG